GGCAGAGAAAGACGCGAGGAGAGAGAAGGAUUCGCACUGCUGCGGUCCACAUCGUCGCUGUCGCCACUAGCUUCGACCACCAUUGAGGUUGUCACGAAUGGGAGAGGAUGAAGCUUCCCAUGUCGCCGUCGUUGUGGUCGAACCCAGCCACCACCAUCGCAAGCUCUGUCGCCAUUGUUGGAGUUGCCGUCGCUGAGCUUCUAGGCGCUUGGAACGGUACUGUGGCCGUUGGAACCUUGGUUUGAGCCGCUGUCAUUUUGUAUGGUCGUUGCUCCUUAGUUAUGGGUCAUGUUCCAGUUAUUACGAGUUGUGAUUGAAGCUGCCACUGCUGCGGGCCAAGACGAAAAAGGAGUUUUGACGUGUUCCAUAGCUUUU